GGUUUCACCGUGGUCUCGAUCUCCUGACCUCGUGAUCCGCCCGCCUCAGCCUCCCAAAGUGCUGGGAUUACAGGCGUGAGCCACCGCGCCCGGCCAGUUCAAUGGAUUUUAAAAAUUAUUAUUCUCUAGAAAAAAGACCACGAACUUUGGAGUGGACAUCCUGAGACCUGCCUACGAAGACCAUUAGGUGGCCUCCAGAAGACACUCCCCUGAUUCCUACACCGAGGGAACACACAGCAGCAAGCUAGGAAAGAAGGGGUGACCCAGCCCAACGCUGUAAACCAGGGCGCGAACCGGCGUUGAGCUGUGCAGCUGCGCCCUGGGCUCCAGUCCUGCUCUGCCGCAGACCCCACCGGAGCCAGCACCUGCCUCCCCGACCCUCGCUGGGGCGGCUGUGAGAUGAGCCCAGAGCCUUCCUGAGCCAACCCUCGCAAGGAAAGUCUGUCUGUUCACCCCACUAUCCUUGUCUUGAAGGAUGAAGAAAAGAGGGCCCCCCGGGAGGUCCCAAAAGGUGGAAUGGACAUCUGGGAUCCAAGCACAGCAAUUUCUUUAUUUUUCUUAAGCCUCUCACUAGAGGAUGAAAAUCGUUCUGCAUAAAGGCCUGGGCUUUAUGAAAAAUAUAUUCACACCUCCCGUGUCCGAGCUGGGAUACCAAAGAAGUUCCUGGUUGAGUACUACUUAUGAAUGAAGGAUUCAGGGGAUGCACAGAAGCCAUGCCUUCUCUCAGGAGCAGACAGCACAAGACUUUCCUGCCAGAGGCACAGUCCCCAGUGGGAGUAGCAUCCACAUAAGACAGGAUGCAGAGAUGUCUUCAAGCAGCUUCAAACAAAACUUCAAGAAAGAAAGUGCAAGUGAAAAAGGAAAUUCAUCCUUCCAGUCACUUAACACAGCACUGUCACGGACACCUUGUGCCUCCUUAAAAUUCGUAUACUGAAGUUCUAAGCCCCAGUACCCCAGAAUGUGACCUUCUUUGGAAAUAGGGUCAUUGCAGAUAUGAUUAGUUAAGAGGAGAUCAUACUGGAGUGGGCUUUAAUCCAAUAUGACUGGUGUCCUUAUGUAAAGGGGAAAUUUGGACACAGACACACACAAGGAGAACACCAUGUGAACUGAAGUCAAAGAUUUGGGUGAUGCUUCUACAAGCCAAGAAAUGCCAAAGAUGACCAGCAAAGCACCGGCAGCUGGUGGAGGAGCCUGGACCAGAUUCUUCCUCACAGCCCUCAAAAGGAACCAAUCUUGCCAAAGCUUUGACUUAGACUUCUAGCCCCCUGUGAUGGUUAAUGUUAAGUGGCAGCUUGACUGGGUUAAGGGAUGCCCAGAUAGCUGGUAAGACAGUAUGUCUGUGUGCAUCUCUCAGAGUGUUUCUGGACAAGAUCAGCAUUUGAAUCCUUAGAGUAAAGAAGAUCUGCCCUCACCCACGUGCAUCACCCUAUCUCUGGAGAGCGCGAACAAACAGGAGGAAGGGCACAUAUGCUCCUUCUGUUCCAGCUGGCACAUCCAUCUUCUCCUGCCCCCUGACUUCAGAGCUCCUGGUUCUCGGGCCUCAGGAUUCCAGCACUUACAUGAGAGCGUGCUUCCCCCUCCCUACUCCACCCCUAGGUUCUCCGCCCUUUGGCCUCUGACUGAAUUCCACCACCAGCUUUUCAGGGUCUCCAGCUUGCAGACGGCAGAUCGUGGGACUUCUUGGCCUCCAUAAUUAUGUAAGCCAAUUCCCAUAAUAAAUCUCCUAUCUAUCUAUCUAUCUAUCCAUCUAUCAAUCAUCUAUCUAGUCUAUCUAUCUAUCUAUCUCUAUCCUAUUGAUUCUGUGUCUCUGAGGAACCCUAAUACACCUCCAGAACUGUGAGAUGAUACAUUUCUGUGGUUUAA
ensembl:lncRNA GRASLND glycosaminoglycan regulatory associated long non-coding RNA